rnacentral:lncRNA from 1 species
AAACAGUAGACCACCUUUUUUCUCAAUGUGUAUUCUUCAAAUUUCUUAUGGUGAUGUCAUUGGAGGAUGUCCAAGCAGGAGAUUUGGCCGAAGAUGUGCAUAUGGUUUGGGACAGACGAAGUGGAAGGAUGGGGUCUCAGUCCAUGAGCGAUGGUUUAGCUGGACUAAUUGCUUGUUGGUGGGUUAUUUGGGAGACCAGGAAUGGUGUGAUCUUUAGGAGGAAUCAGACUGAUCCAAUCCGUGGUUGCUAUAAGGUUAACAGCUGACGUCCCUGUGGGGGAAUCUUCGCCAUAUUUCGCAGGGAAUAGCCAAGAAGAAGGCGGAACUUAAGGACCAACUACUCGGGGUAUUUAAAGAUGAGGAAGCAUUGUGGAGAACCUGAGCAAAACAGCAUUGGCUACGGGAGGGCGACAAUAACACCAAAUUCUUCCAUACUGUAGCCAAUGGCCGGAGGAGAACAAACAGAAUUGACGUGAUCGAAGAGAGUGGGACGGUGUAUCAUUCUGAAGAGGAUAAAUAGAAUGUCUUAUUUCAAAAUUUUAAAAAGCUUUACUCACCGGAUGAGUUGGCUCCAUCAUCAUUCGGGGAUUGGAGUGAGCUUUUCAGGACGGCGCGGGUUAGCCCUACCGAUCGUGUGCAUUUAACGAGGCCUUUCACUCUCGAUGAAGUUAAACAAGCAGUUUUUCAGCUUGGGAGUGAUAAGGCGCCGAGACCGGAUGGAUUCCCGUUGUACUUCUACCAAACUUUCUGGGACACCCUAAAGGGUGAUAUCUUGAACAUUUUUCAAGAAUUGUUCGAGGGGACGCAAGACACCAACCCUAUUGAUUAUACUUACAUUUGUUUAAUUCCGAAGAAGGAUGGAGCUAAAUGGGCGGAUGAUUAUCGACCUAUAAGCCUGCUGAACGGAAUUCAGAAGAUCCUAUCCAAGGUUUUAGCCAAUCAACUGGAGAUGAUUAUGGGAGAUCUGAUAUCCUCCACCCAAUCGGCUUUCUUGAAGGGAAGAAAUAUCACUGAUGCUUUCGCGACGGUUUGUGAGCUGAUCGGCUGGGGGAGUAAGCAGGAAACUGAGGGAGUCGGGGUAAAAGUGGAUUUUGAGAAGGCAUACGACAGAAUUUACUGGCCGUUUCUUCUUCGCAUUUUAGACUGGUGGGGCUUCAAUGAUAAGUGGUGCAACUGGAUCAAACUUUGUGUGUGCAACACUAAGGUCGCUGUUUUAGUUAAUGGCGUACCAACCAAGUGGAUAAAGACAAAGAGGGGGGUUCGGCAAGGCGACCCGCUUUGUCCCUUCCUCUUUUUACUCAUAGCAGAGUGUCUUGCCCGACUGACGAAAGAGGCAAUCUCCAACAAUCUUAUUAACGGCAUUAGCCCUUCUGAGGCAUCUAGGGUUUCCAUUAUCCAAUUCGCCGAUGACAAUUUUUUCUUCUGUGAGGCCAAGAAGAGAUGCAUGCGAAAUCUGAAAUUUCUAUGGCAACUUUUCGAGUGGGCAUCCGGAAUGAAGGUCAACAACGAGAAAUCGGAACUAUAUUAUACUGGUCAGGUGGAAGGAAAAGCGAGUAGGCUGGCACACAUACUAGGUUGUAAACUCGGUAGCUUACCCACCAGAUAUUUAGGCCUGCCGUUGGCAACAAGACCCCCGUCCAAGGAGACUUGGAGGGAAAUCAUUCACAAGGUUCAACGUAGAAUUGAUGGUUGGCAAGCAAAACUUCUAUCGUGAGGGGGUAGACUUAUUCUAGUAAACGCCGUUCUCACUAAUCUACCUCCUUAUUUUUUUGCUGUGUUCAAGACACCCAUAUGGGUUAUCAAACACAUUGAGGCUCUGCGUAGAGAUUUCUUCUGGAGGGGAGGAUCCACUUCACCCGGUAAGGGAUGUCUUGUUUCCUGGAAAAGCGUCUGCAGGAGCAAGAAAGAGGGAGGCCUCGGUGUCCUUGAUUUAACGGUCAUGAAUCAAGCCCUCCUUGCCAAAUGGUGGUGGAAAUUUCUUACGGCGCCUCAGUUGCAAUGGAACAAGAUAAUUCGUGAGCUGUUCUAUCUUAGAAGAAGACCAUUAAAAGAGGGUAGGUGCUUUCGACCAUCCUCCUUAUUGGUUGCUAUAAGGUUAAACAGCUGACGUCCCUGUGGGGGAAUCUUCGCCCUAUGGAGAAACACUGAUUUUUAUUAUUAUUAUUAUUAUUAUUAUUAUUAUUAUUAUUAUUAUUAUUAUUUUAUUUUUUUAUUUGUUUUUCGUCUUUGUCCGGCUUUUCAUUUUUUUAGAGGCCUUAUUGCCUCACCCAUGUUGCUAAGUUCAUAUCCUGAAUGAAUGAAGCGGGUAGCGUGCUACCUUUUUCUCAAAAAAAAAAAAUUUUAAAUUGACAACUUAAAAUAUAAAUCGUUAAUAUUUCCACAACUUUAUAUCCGUAAUUUAAGAUUCAAAAUUUUAAAGAUUAGAUUCUAU